GAAUGCGAUCAUACCAGCACUAAAGCACCGGAUCCCAUCAGAACUCCGAAGUUAAGCGUGCUUGGGCGAGAGUAGUACUAGGAUGGGUGACCUCCUAUCCUCGUGUUGCAUUCC
rnacentral:rRNA from 2 species